CUUCACGACGCCUUCCGAUCUUAACCAUGUGUAUACCACGGUAUAGUCGUUAGUGAAUCGAAAUGUAACACGAUAUUCACUAGUUCCACGUUGGCUAUCACGCACACGGUAUAUAUAUCCUAACGGUUAUCCUACAGCUAUUGGGACAAACAACAUUGGGCACUCUCUUCGUAUAUGUGCUUACGUUGCCCCUGAACCAAUAAUAAAUGGGACUUUAAACAAAUAAUUACCAUCUAUAUCGUUUCCGAAAUUAGUGAAAUUGAACCUACAUUUGGAGCUUAUUAGAA